rnacentral:rRNA from 1 species
AUUGAACGCUGGCGGCAUGCCUUACACAUGCAAGUCGAGCGGCAGCACGGGGCAACCUGGUGGCGAGUGGCGAACGGGUGAGUAAUGCAUCGGAACGUACCUUUCAGUGGGGGAUAACGUAGCGAAAGUUACGCUAAUACCGCAUAUUCUGUGAGCAGGAAAGCAGGGGCUCGCAAGACCUUGCGCUGAUCGAGCGGCCGAUGUCAGAUUAGCUGGUUGGUGAGGUAAAGGCUCACCAAGGCGACGAUCUGUAGCGGGUCUGAGAGGAUGAUCCGCCACACUGGAACUGAGACACGGUCCAGACUCCUACGGGAGGCAGCAGUGGGGAAUUUUGGACAAUGGGGGCAACCCUGAUCCAGCCAUGCCGCGUGAGUGAAGAAGGCCUUCGGGUUGUAAAGCUCUUUCGGCCGGGAAGAAAUCGCACGGGCUAAUACCCUGUGUGGAUGACGGUACCGGAAUAAGAAGCACCGGCUAACUACGUGCCAGCCGCCGCGGUAAAAC